rnacentral:misc_RNA from 1 species
UCUCCGUUGGUGAACCAGCGGAGGGAUCAUUACAGGAUCGAAAGACUCCUAUAACCCCUGUGAACUUACUACAAAUACGUUGCUUCGGCGGGUGCCCCGGGUCUCCCGGGGCGCUCAGCCCGCCGGCAGCCUUCAAAUUCUGUUUCUUUGCGUUGGCAUCUCGAGUAUACAAAAAUAAGUUAAAACUUUCAACAACGGAUCUCUUGGUUCUG